rnacentral:rRNA from 1 species
GUGGGGAAUCUUGGACAAUGGGGGCAACCCUGAUCCAGCGAUGCCGCGUGAGCGAAGAAGGCCUUAGGGUUGUAAAGCUCUUUCGCCCGCGACGAUGAUGACGGUAGCGGGAGAAGAAGCCCCGGCUAACUCCGUGCCAGCAGCCGCGGUAAUACGGAGGGGGCUAGCGUUGUCCGGAAUUACUGGGCGUAAAGCGCGCGUAGGCGGUCCACCAAGUCGGGGGUGAAAGCCCGGGGCUCAACCCCGGAAUGUCCUCCGAGACUGUUGGACUGGAGUUCGGGAGAGGAGAGCGGAAUUCCCAGUGUAGAGGUGAAAUUCGUAGAUAUUGGGAAGAACACCGGUGGCGAAGGCGGCUCUCUGGCCCGCAACUGACGCUGAGGCGCGAAAGCGUGGGGAGCAAACA